rfam:Helicobacter sp. MIT 09-6949 CONTIG_190, whole genome shotgun sequence.
UAGCUGCUUGAUAGGGUAGAUGUGUAAGCAUAGUAAUAUGUUUAGCUGACUACUACUAAUAGACCGCUUGGCUUUUUUUA